rnacentral:rRNA from 1 species
CUCCUACGGGAGGCAGCAGUAGGGAAUAUUAGGCAAUGGACGAGAGUCUGACCCAGCCAUGCCGCGUGCAGGACUACGGCGCUAUGCGUUGUAAACUGCUUUUAUACUGGGGUAAUACUCGCUACGUGUAGCGGGAUGCAAGUACAGUAAGAAUAAGGAUCGGCUAACUCCGUGCCAGCAGCCGCGGUAAUACGGAGGAUCCAAGCGUUAUCCGGAUUUAUUGGGUUUAAAGGGUGCGCAGGCGGAAUAGUAAGUCAGUGGUGAAAUCUCUAGGCUCAACCUGGGAACUGCCAUUGAUACUGCUAAUCUAGAUUACAGACGGCGUAGGCGGAAUAUGUCAAGUAGCGGUGAAAUGCGUAGAUAUGACAUAGAACACCGAUAGGGAAGCCAGCUUACGAGGCUGUAAAUGACGCUCAAGCACGAAAGCGUGGGGAUCAAACAGGAUUAGAUACCCUGGUAGUCCACGCUGUAAACGAUGUUCACUCGUUGUCGGCAAGUUAUUGUCGGUGGCUAAGCGAAAGUGAUAAGUGAACCACCUGGGGAGUACGUUCGCAAGUAUGAAACUCAAAGGAAUUGACGGGGGCCCGCACAAGCGGAGGAGCAUGUGGUUUAAUUCGAUGAUACGCGAGGAACCUUACCUAGACCUGAACGCAGAGAGAAUAUAUUAGAAAUAGUAUAGCUGUUAAAGGCUGUCUGCGAGGUGCUGCAUGGUUGUCGUCAGCUCGUGCCGUGAGGUGUUAGGUUAAGUCCUGCAACGAGCGCAACCCUUACUGUUAGUUACCAUCGCGUUAUGGCGGGGACUCUGGCAGAACUGCCCACGCAAGUGCGGAGGAAGGUGGGGAUGACGUCAAAUCA